UAUAAUGUUGAAGCCUCCAACGC
rnacentral:siRNA from 1 species